GUGCCAGCAGCCGCGGUAAUACGAAGGGGGCUAGCGUUGUUCGGAAUUACUGGGCGUAAAGGGCGCGUAGGCGGUACUUCAAGUCAGGCGUGAAAGCCCCGGGCUCAACCUGGGAACCGCGCUUGAGACUGGAGAACUAGAGUUCGGGAGAGGAUGGUGGAAUUCCCAGUGUAGAGGUGAAAUUCGUAGAUAUUGGGAAGAACACCGAUGGCGAAGGCAGCCAUCUGGACCGACACUGACGCUGAGGCGCGAAAGCGUGGGGAGCAAACAGGAUUAGAUACCCUGGUAGUCC
rnacentral:rRNA from 1 species